rnacentral:lncRNA from 1 species
GGGGAGGCCCAAUCGCCCGCGUACAGGAGGCGCCAGGGCAGGCCAGAGAGAAGAUGGAGCCAGAGUCCCUGUACAACCUGCUGCAGCUCCACGGCGAGGCGGCCCUGCCCACGGAGGAGCAGCUCCCGCCAGGAGCCAAGAAGAAAUACCUGCCCCCUAGUUCCCGGAAGGACCCCAAGUUUGAAGAACUGCAAAAGGUAGGGCAGCCUCAGCACCGAUGCUCUGGGGUCCGUCCCCUGCCUGGCACUU